CAGUAGCCGCGGUAAUACGUAGGUGGCAAGCGUUGUCCGGAAUUAUUGGGCGUAAAGGGCUCGCAGGCGGUUUCUUAAGUCUGAUGUGAAAGCCCCCGGCUCAACCGGGGAGGGUCAUUGGAAACUGGGAAACUUGAGUGCAGAAGAGGAGAGCGGAAUUCCACGUGUAGCGGUGAAAUGCGUAGAGAUGUGGAGGAACACCAGUGGCGAAGGCGACUCUCUGGUCUGUAACUGACGCUGAGGAGCGAAAGCGUGGGGAGCGAACAGGAUUAGAUACCCGCGUAGUCCCUGUCUCUUAUAC
rnacentral:rRNA from 1 species